UCCCUGGUGGUCCAGUGGCUGAAACUCCGCACUCCCAAUGCAGGGGGCCCAGGUUUGAUUCCUGGUUGGGGAA
rnacentral:tRNA from 1 species